rnacentral:rRNA from 1 species
GACAGAGGUCUCAAGCGUUAGGCGGAAUCACUGGGCUUAAAGCGUGUGUAGGUGGGUUUGUAAGUACCUUGUGAAAUCCCACGGCUCAACCGUGGAACUGCUGGGUAUACUGCGAAUCUUGAGCCAUCUAGGGGCUACUGGAACAAACGGUGGAGCGGUGAAAUGCGUAGAUAUCGUUUGGAACGCCAAUGGUGAAAACAGGUAGCUGGGGAUGUGCUGACACUGAGACACGAAAGCCAGGGGAGCAAACGGG